rnacentral:lncRNA from 1 species
CCUCCCCUCAGCUGCCUCCAUUCACAGAAACCAUAGAGAAAUGGGCCACGCAUGAAAAGACAUCCGGUACUCUCCUCUGUGAGGGAAGAAGAUGCUGACUGAAGGGCUCUUCACAACGUUAACUGAGAAAGCAAAGCCAGAAGCAAAAGACCACAGAGCGGGUGCUACAGUUUCUCUGAGACUGGAGACUCCGGGAGUACAGACUGGCAAUCCGAGGGCUGGAACAAACAGGACAACCCGAAGGACAAAGAGGCAACUACUGGGAGAGAGGAGGAACAGGGUGAACUGAAAAGGAGACCAACUGAGCAAGGAUCUUGGGCCCCAACCCGUUGGUGUGACGCUCCAGAGGCUCUGUUGAGCCCGUUGGUGGGCUAAGACUCUUUCUAAGGAUCUGCCAACAUAGGCCAGAUUCACACCAAGACCAUGAAGUCAAACCAAGGCUGUGAAGAAGGCAGCUUGGAUCAUCAUCUAGAAGUACUACACACACCCACUUAAGGAAUUCCACACCAACAACCACCUGUGCACAGAUAUCACCAUGAUUCCGCUUCUCCAGGCUCCCAAAAGAGUCCAAGCA